rnacentral:rRNA from 1 species
AACGAACGCUGGCGGCAUGCCUAACACAUGCAAGUCGAACGAGACCUUCGGGUCUAGUGGCGCACGGGUGCGUAACGCGUGGGAACCUGCCCUUAGGUUCGGAAUAACUCCCCGAAAGGGGUGCUAAUACCGGAUAAUGUCUUCGGACCAAAGAUUUAUCGCCUUUGGAUGGGCCCGCGUUGGAUUAGCUAGUUGGUAGGGUACAAGCCUACCAAGGCGACGAUCCAUAGCUGGUCUGAGAGGAUGAUCAGCCACACUGGGACUGAGACACGGCCCAGACUCGGACGGGAGGCAGCAGUGGGGAAUAUUGGACGAGGGGCGAAAGCCUGAUCCAGCAAUGCCGCGUGAGUGAUGAAGGCCUUAGGGUUGUAAAGCUCUUUUACCCGGGAUGAUAAUGACAGUACCGGGAGAAUAAGCACCGGCUAACUCCGUG